rfam:TPA: Bos taurus chromosome 25, whole genome shotgun sequence.
UCCCUGGUAGGCCAGUGGUUAGGACUCUGGCUUCCACUGCCAGGGGCCUGGGUUCAAUCCCUGGUCAGGGAA